GUGCCUAAUACAUGCAAGUCGAGCGAACGGACGAGAAGCUUGCUUCUCUGAUGUUAGCGGCGGACGGGUGAGUAACACGUGGAUAACCUACCUAUAAGACUGGGAUAACUUCGGGAAACCGGAGCUAAUACCGGAUAAUAUUUUGAACCGCAUGGUUCAAAAGUGGAAGACGGUCUUGCUGUCACUUAUAGAUGGAUCCGCGCUGCAUUAGCUAGUUGGUAAGGUAACGGCUUACCAAGGCAACGAUGCAUAGCCGACCUGAGAGGGUGAUCGGCCACACUGGAACUGAGACACGGUCCAGACUCCUACGGGAGGCAGCAGUAGGGAAUCUUCCGCAAUGGGCGAAAGCCUGACGGAGCAACGCCGCGUGAGUGAUGAAGGUCUUCGGAUCGUAAAACUCUGUUAUUAGGGAAGAACAUAUGUGUAAGUAACUGUGCACAUCUUGACGGUACCUAAUCAGAAAGCCACGGCUAACUACGUGCCAGCAGCCGCGGUAAUACGUAGGUGGCAAGCGUUAUCCGGAAUUAUUGGGCGU
rnacentral:rRNA from 1 species